AAAUUGUAUUUGAAUCCUGAGCAACCACAGCCCUCUAGCCUCUUCCCCUCCCUAGCCAUAUCUGAACAGCUUCCCAUUUCAACUCCAUAGAUACGUGACUCUCCAAGUGCUUUAUUUUGAAAACUAGGACGUAGCACUUUGCAGAAGAAAAAUCAGUCCACUUGCUAUUAUUUAUGUGAUCGCUGAUCUGCUAGAUGGAUAUAGAAAGCACCAAGAAUUAUAAUAAUUUAUGGAGUAGAGCACUGGUUUACAAACAUAUUUCUCUGCCCGAGCUUUGUGUGUUUCUUUGCGUCUCGGGGCUCGUUCUGUGCAAUGGGAAUGGAGAAUAUUCAGAAUUUGAAGACAAGCCCGGCGAGCCGACUGCAUUCAUAGCUAAAAUUAAAGGAAUAAGUGAGCAGCUAUUUGUGGCAGACAGGACAUGAUCCAUCUGUUUCCAGGUCUGGCGGGGGGCCGGGCUGCGGUGGCGGCAGCGGUGGGAGAUGCCGGGGCGGCCGGCGGAGGUCCAUGUGGCGCUCUAGGUGGGAUGCCAGCGUCCUGAAGGCGGAGGCCCUGGCCCUCCUCCCCUGCGGCCUGGGCAUGGCAUUCUCCCAGUCCCACGUGAUGGCCGCUCGGCGGCACCAGCACAGCCGGCUCAUCAUCGAGGUGGACGAGUACAGCUCCAACCCCACCCAGGCCUUCACCUUCUACAACAUCAACCAGGGCCGCUUCCAGCCACCGCAUGUGCAGAU
rnacentral:lncRNA from 1 species